UUUCCCAAUCUAAAUUUGACGGAGGUCCACUCCUCUUUCUACCACUAUCAUCUUCUCGAAGGUAAUGCAAAUACUGAGCAUCCUCUUCUUCUAACAUAUCUAAAGCUUUUUCAAAUUUCAAUGUCGUUUCCAACAUCAAAUAGGUAGAAUUCCACCUAAUUGGAACAUCCAAAAACACAAUAGACUUGCAAUCAAUCUUCUCUUUCGUUGCACACUCCUUCAAUUUUUCAUACCUAGAGGGAGAAGAUUUUAC
rnacentral:lncRNA from 1 species